CAAUAAUAUUUUAUUAAAUGCAGGUUAUAACAAGCAAGUUAAAGUUCAUUAAUAAGUAAACCUUCAGAGAUAGAAGUAAAUUGUAUACUUAAGAUUGAUGGGAGUUGUCCUCCAUGGAACUGAAUAGUUUGAGUCCAAAGGAUGUUUGACAUAAACAGUCCGGUUUCAAGGAAAUAAGUAGAGAUCCGGUAAAUUCAAUACGGUCCGUGGUCAGAGGGCAAUGAAAAGGCAAAAGUCCGUUACAACAAUCCAAGGUUUAGUACACGUUAGGAACGAAGAGAAGCUUAGCCAGCGUUGAAUGCGGAAGUGACAUCCGAAAUCACCAAGCACCUUGAAUCUGGCGCGGUCUCUCUAUAAAGCGUGAGAGAGCAGCGUCAGAAAGGGGGCGGAGCUGGUUCCGCAUACCGGAAAUGCCGG